rnacentral:rRNA from 1 species
GUGAGCGCUGGCGGUAGGCCUAACACAUGCAAGUCGAACGGCAGCACAGUAAGAGCUUGCUCUUACGGGUGGCGAGUGGCGGACGGGUGAGGAAUACAUCGGAAUCUACUUUUUCGUGGGGGAUAACGUAGGGAAACUUACGCUAAUACCGCAUACGACCUACGGGUGAAAGCAGGGGAUCUUCGGACCUUGCGCGAUUGAAUGAGCCGAUGUCGGAUUAGCUAGUUGGCGGGGUAAAGGCCCACCAAGGCGACGAUCCGUAGCUGGUCUGAGAGGAUGAUCAGCCACACUGGAACUGAGACACGGUCCAGACUCCUACGGGAGGCAGCAGUGGGGAAUAUUGGACAAUGGGCGCAAGCCUGAUCCAGCCAUACCGCGUGGGUGAAGAAGGCCUUCGGGUUGUAAAGCCCUUUUGUUGGGAAAGAAAAGCAGCAGGUUAAUACCCCGCUGUUCUGACGGUACCCAAAGAAUAAACACCGGCUAACUUCGU